rnacentral:rRNA from 1 species
CCUACGGGAGGCAGCAGUGAGGAAUAUUGGUCAAUGGGCUUACGCCUGAACCAGCCAAGUCGCGUGAGGGAAGACUGCCCUAUGGGUUGUAAACCUCUUUUGUCAGGGAGCAACGCCGGCUACGUGUAGCCGGACUGAGAGUACCUGAAGAAAAGGCAUCGGCUAACUCCGUGCCAGCAGCCGCGGUAAUACGGAGGAUGCGAGCGUUAUCCGGAUUUAUUGGGUUUAAAGGGUGCGUAGGCGGAAUGCCAAGUCAGCGGGAAAAUCGCGGGGCUCAACCUCGCUCCGCCGUUGAAACUGGCGUUCUUGAGUGGGCGAGAAGUAUGCGGAAUGCGUGGUGUAGCGGUGAAAUGCAUAGAUAUCACGCAGAACUCCGAUUGCGAAGGCAGCAUACCGGCGCCCAACUGACGCUGAAGCACGAAAGCGUGGGUAUCGAACAGGAUUAGAUACCCCAGUAGUC